CAGUAGCCACGGUAAUACAGAGGGUGCAAGCGUUAAUCGGAAUUACUGGGCGUAAAGCGCGCGUAGGUGGUUUGUUAAGUUGGAUGUGAAAUCCCCGGGCUCAACCUGGGAACUGCAUCCAAAACUGGCAGGCUAGAGUAGGGCAGAGGGUGGUGGAAUUUCCUGUGUAGCGGUGAAAUGCGUAGAUAUAGGAAGGAACACCAGUGGCGAAGGCGACCACCUGGGCUCAUACUGACACUGAGGUGCGAAAGCGUGGGGAGCAAACAGGAUUAGAUACCCGCGUAGUCCCUGUCUCUUAUAC
rnacentral:rRNA from 1 species